AGCCGAAGCGAAAGCGAGUCUUAAGAGGGCGCAAGUCAGGAAGCGUAGACCCGAAACCACAGUGAUCUACCCAUGUCCAGGUUGAAACACAGGUAAAAAUGUGUGGAGGACCGAACCUAUAUCCGUUGAAAAGGGUUAGGAUGAGGUGUGGGUAGGGGUGAAAUUCCAAUCGAACGUGGAGAUAGCUGGUUCUCCCCGAAAUAGCUUUAGGGCUAGCCUCAGGGAAAAGAUUGCAGGCGGUAGAGCACUGAUCAGGAGAGGGACCUACCCGGUUACCAAACCCAGUCAAACUCCGAAUGGCUGCAAUCAUACCUGGGAGUCAGACUGCGACUAAUAAGGGCCGCAGUCAAAAGGGAAACAGCCCAGACCAUCAGCUAAGGUCCCCAAUGCCGUGCUAAGUGGCGAAGGAUGUGGCAUUUCAUAAACAACCAGGAUGUUGGCUCAGAAGCAGCCACCAUUUAAAGAGUGCGUAAUAGCUCACUGGUCGAGAGACGCUGCGCCGAAAAUGUCCGGGGCUCAAGCACGGAACCGAAGCUAUGGCAUGAUAGCAAUAUCAUGGGUAGGGGAGCGUUCUUAUAAGGAAGAAGCAUGACCGGAAGGACAUGUGGACAAAUAAGAAGUGAGAAUGCCGGUAUGAGUAUCGAAAAGAAAGGUGAGAAUCCUUUCCACCGAAAGCAUAAGGAUUCCUGAGCAACGAUCGUCGUCUCAGGGUAAGUCGGGACCUAAUCCGAGGCAGAGAGCGUAGGAGAUGGACAACUGGUUGAUAUUCCAGUACCGGUAGUAAUUGUUUGAGCAAUGGAGUGACACAGAAGGGCAGGCAAGCAUGCGAAUGGAAGAGCAUGUGUAAGCGUGUAGGGUGGUGCAUAGGCAAAUCCGUGCACUGAAAGCCUGAGGCGUGAUGCGGAGUGAGCAGAGAUGCGAGCGAAGUUGCUGACCCCACACUGUCGAGAAAAGCUUCUAGUGAGAGAGCUACCGCCCGUACCGUAAACCGACACAGGUAGGCGGGGAGAGAAUCCUAAGGUGCGCGGGAAAACCCUCGUUAAGGAACUCGGCAAAUUGCAUCCGUAACCUAGGGAGAAGGAUGGCCCCCGGUCAGUGAAGAGCAGAAACGCUCAGAGCUAAAAGGGGCGGCAGAAAAGAGGCCCAAGCAACUGUUUACCAAAAACACAGGUGCCUGCGAAAGCGAAAGCUGAAGUAUAGGUGCUGACGCCUGCCCGGUGCCGGAAGGUUAAGGAGAGAAGUUAGCGAAAGCGAAGCAUCGAACUGAAGCCCCGGUGAACGGCGGCCGUAACUAUAACGGUCCUAAGGUAGCGAAAUUCCUUGUCGGGUAAG
rnacentral:rRNA from 1 species